UCGACUCAGCUCACUGAGAACGGCGCGUCUUUGAUCUUUCUUCGAUCCUGAUCCGUGCUUCCGUUCGCCGUUUCUUCAUUCGAUCGAAGUCUCGUCAACGACACGUCUGUUAUGUGCGAACAUCAUCGUCCUCAUUCAUCGUUGUCAGGCAUAUCUGCGAUGGAGAUUAUCUCUGCAAGAUAGUCAUUUUAUUUUUGUGAUUUUGAUACUUCUGAUGCGGUUAGAGUUAAGAUCUGGGAUGUAUUCAUGUAGAUCAAAGUUUCGUCUACGACACAUCUAUUACCUGCGAAUAUCAUCGUUAGGCACAUCUUCGACCGAGAUUACCUCUGCUAGUUCAUAAUUUUGUUUUUGUGAUUUUGAUACUUCUUAUGCGAUUAGAGUUCAGAUCUGGGGUGUAUUCAUAUAGAUAUAGGGUUGAGUACAUUUUUUGUUUUCUUUCUAUUUUCUCCCCUGCUCCUUAGACCUGGACCUGGCAUUAUUCAUUUUGAUUUUUGUUAAUAUUUAGCCAGUUAAGUUUAUAAUAGAUGGUAUUCUUGUCGGUUAUAUUCAACUCUUACUGGAAAUGGAUUUCGGGUUUUUAUUUGAAUGAGAUUUGAUUUUAAUUAUGAUUCCGUGGCGUCAUAGCUGGAGAAUACAUUAAUGUAAUUGCAUGGCUUUUAAGGGCUUUUAGGUUUUCUUUUUAGCCAUUAGUCUGUUACGCUUACCAUUUUGGGGGGUCCAUGGACUUAAUACUUUUACCUUUUUGUUUGGUUUUGCCAUUCUUCCUGGGUUUUCAUUUACUUGGGCUUAUUUUAUGAUUUCAUAGAAUUAACAAAAUUUGCAAUACCUUACUACUCAAAAUUUUUCCCAGAAAAGGGUUAUAGAAUGAAUCUUCCUCAGUUUGGUAUUUGCAUUGUUCUAUUCUCGAGCAAUAAAAAUCAAGGUAUUGGUUUAUGGGCAGAAGAAGAGGCCGCUACCCGUGCCGAGGCUGUAAAGGAAUACCGUCUCUCUAAGGAUUGCCAGGACAGAAAGGGACAAUAUGCGUCGGGUUUCACUAAGUGUGGCUUCUAUCUUGCUCGGGCUUAUUUGGAGGCACAGCGCCUGGGGGAGACUUUCCCGGAGUUGGUUCUCACCCCUGAGGUGGAAGAUUUUGUGCCCCCUGAUUGGCGCCUAUAUGAUCCCCUUCCGAUGAGCCCUUCUUCUUACCUUGAAUCUCGGCUUGUGGAUAAUUUGGAGAAUUUGACGGGCCCAUGGGAGCCAUAUCCUUUCAAUACUGACAAUGACGAGAUGAUUGAUUCCCUUCAAGACCUGGGCGUUUCUGUAGGGUCUAAUUCCCCCUCAAAUCUGUUCCAAAUUUCCUAUUCAAACCCUGAGCAAACCCUAGGAUGGUGAGAUGCAUGUGCCGAUAGCUGAAAUUACAAUUUCACCCCUAUUUGUUUUUAACAAUUUCACCCCCUUGGCAUAUGUGCUCAACGUGUGUUUUUGGCAUAUUAAUCAUGUCCAUUUUAUAAUGCCAUACAGAACCAUUGGUUGAACAACGGUUCCAUGCUGAGACAACUGGUGAGGUGGCCAAUAGAAGUUCUAGAUUUGUAAAUAUUUUGGUAAGGAUUCUAUAUUCCUAAUUAUUUAUUUAGAUAAUUUUUGUUAUAUUGUAUUAUGGAUAUAUCUACUGCCUGUUGUUUUGGUAAUGGUUUUAUUUUCUGAAUAGGGGUGGUUUUCUUUUUUUCCAGAUUCCGAAGAUGUCCAAUGCUUACAACUCAUUAUUCUUUAGAUGUUUAUAUUUUUCUAACAAAUCCUUUUCGUUUUAGUUGCUGGUGCUGCAUUAUGUUCAUCAUCUAAAGUAUGUUGGUAAACAUAUUACUGUUACUUUUAUGGCAGGAAAGCUGUUAUCAAAAUUGAUAACGCUGUCAAUGAUCUUAAUUGGCUAUUAUGGUGCUUGGGUUUGUUUGUUCUCUUUCACUAAUAAUAUGAAGCUUAUAACUCUUUCUUCUACAGAGUGCUGUGUCAAUGUGAAAUCAUGGUUUAAUAUUUUUCAAUUGAAUAUGACCUGUUCAUUUUGCUCAAUGCUUUAAUCAAGAGUGGAGAUGCCAAUCUUAUGUCUUGUUAAAGAAAUUGAGUUAUCUUUAAGCAUUCUAAUGGUUCUCUUCAUGUCAACUAGCGAGCACUACCAUAAGUUGCUUAUCCUGUCAUAUGGUUCUAAUUGUAGUUGGUAUAUAAAUCAGAAUAAAUGCAUUUGUGUCCUGUUCAUGUUCUGAUUCCAAUUGCAUAACUACACAAAAAAUUAGAAGUACUGAAAGAUAGGGAACAGAUACCCAGGGAUGUGUGGUGAUAUCUAUUAUAAUUUGCUAUUAGUAAAUUUGACCAAUUUACUGUAUUGUUUUUACGUUCUGCUAUUCUUAGAUGUAGAAUUAUUAGGUUUUCAUCCAUGAAAGAGAUUGUUUGAUGUAUCGCACGAUGUAUCAUUUGAUAGCCCCAAAAUCCUUUCCCUUUGGUUCUAUUUUAAUUUCAAAUGGAGGAAUUCAAAAGAUAUUUAGAACUAGAUAGAUGUCAGCAAAGUGGACUUCGUAGAUCCACUUAUAUUUCAGGAGUAUAUUUAUGCACUUGCCCAUGAUCAUGGUUUAAAUAGAUCGAUUUUCUUGGAAAAUGCGGGUUAUGACAAUAAUUCCAGCUUACUAAUUGUGAAAUGUUUAAUUACUUAAAUGUAUCAAUGGAAUCAUUUGAUUUUUGUGCUAACGAUUCUAACCAAAAUUCAUUUGGACACAACACAAAUGUGUAUUCUCAGAUGAUGUUAGAAGGAUUUGCAGUUUUCAUGUGCUUCUGACUAAUUUGGGUAUGUUUGUUUAGGCAUAUGCUUCCCAGCUACGUGAUGGUUAAAUUGAAUUUUCUAGUGUCCUGUAUCCAUGAAAACAUUGGUAAUUGAGGUCCUUUAGUAUUAUUACGGGCUACAAACUAGAAGAAACAAUGUAACAUAUUUGUAUUCCAUUAAUAGUCCUCUGCUACCAAAUCAAGAAUUGUCUGGAGACAAUUGUGCAAGUUAAUUGGGUCUUCAGUAAAUCAUCACUGCAUUUGCAUGCAUGUUUAAUGUAUUUAUGGAUGUGCAUACCAAGAAAUCAAUAGUCCUCUGCUACCAAAUCAAGAAUUGUCUGGAGACAAUUGUGCAAGUUAAUUGGGUCUUCAGUAAAUCAUCACUGCAUUUGCAUGCAUGUUUAAUGUAUUUAUGGAUGUGCAUACCAAGAAAUCAAACUUCCUAUGCUACCACCCACUGAUGUCCAGUUGAAUACAGGUUGGAUAGAAUAAACAGACUGCUGUGCAAAAGAUAGUUUUAUGCUUCUUUGUUUUGUUAUAUCGACCUGGUUGGUGUUGUGCUAACUGGGGAUUUUAAAUCUCUUUCCAUGUGUAAAUAUUAUGUUAUUAUUGAAAUCUUCUGCUGAUAGGUUGCUCAAUGAUUGAAAAUCUCUUUUUAUGGUUUUGCGCUUAUAACUAGCCUUUUUACUAAUGUCCAUCCAUUCCACCUCUAUGGCCUCAAGGAAUGUCGGUGUAAUUUACCCUUGUUAUUCAUUGUUAUUUUAUGAUAUAAACCAAGGUUACAAAAUCAAAAGCCUUAAUCCCAUUGGGGGAAGUCACUGUCAUGAUGAUGGAUAGGCAAGUGCUAUUGAUGAAUGUUAUCUUAAAUCUUAGACCAUUGGAUAUUAAGUCCGAGUGCUUUUGAGGUUUGAGAGCUUCCCUCAAUCACUUGUUUCAAUGGUGCAACACCUAAUGUAUAGAAGUGAAGUCAAUGCAGGUAUGCAGAAACAUGCAGCCUCGGUCUCUACGUGUUCCAGGGUCCCAUCCUACUAAAACUGUUUUAGGGGUGCAACCGUAAUCACGGUUAUUUUAAAUUAUGUUGUCAAGUGUGGUUGUUUAUUGUUUAAGAAGAAAUUUUUAUAUUCUUGUCAACUAUCAAUAAUUUGCAGAAAUUACAAAUACUGAAUGAUUAUUUUCUAACAGCUGAAGUAAUCUAAUAUCCGCAUUUAUUUGGAACAGUGUAGACUUCUGGAUCUGACACUUAAUUCUUGGUUUGAAAAGAAAUUUAUAUUUCAUAUUGCAACUAUCGUGGUGUUUUUGCUUUUACACAUUCUUCAAGAAAAUUUGAUAUUGCCUGAUGAUGGGAUACACAUUUUGUAGAGUGGUUACAAUAAUAACAUUCUUCAAGAAAAUCUCUUCCCCCCCCCCCCCCACCAAAAAAAAUUAUUUCUCAAGUUAGGGGAGCCUUGUAAUGAUAAGCCAUUAGCAUUGACCAUUAAUGAAUUAUGAUAGCUACAAGAUCUAAGGGCUUAAAUGUAUUUUUUUUUUUUAUAAGUUCUAUUACUAAUUAGGUUAUGGGAUCCAGAUCUAUGUACUGGGUAUAUCUAGUUAUUGUAAUCUGUUUUAGGAAUUUGAUUUCAUUGGUUACUUAUUGGUCAGUAGACGUGUCUUUUUGUUUUAUAGACUAACAAUUAUACGUCUGUUGGUAAUGCUUGAUUUCUCGAGGAAAAUUAAACUUUCUGUAGUUUAAUUGUAAUUUAUACACAGACACGCACACAUAUUUAUAUAUGCACACUGCUUGUUUCUUUUACUGAAUUCAUCAUUCAUUCUCAUUUUAUUGAAGUUUAUAAAAAAAUAAUUUUAUUUCAGUACAUUAUCAUGAAAAUAACAUUCUUAUGAAAAUAUUUACAAAUCUGGCACUUUGUUGAUCAUCUCACCAGCUGGCUCAACCUAGAUCCGCUACGUUAUUAUUUAUUUGCUUUAAAACUUUUUUCAAGAAACUCUAAUAUUGCCCAAUGAUGGAAAACUCAUUUUAUGGAGUGGUUGCUUUUGUUUCAAUUAGUAGCCUCCCCUUAUCAAAUUAAUUUUUUUUUUUUUUUUUCAAUUUCGUCCUCAUCCCCUCUCUCCCCCCUCCUAUUCUUCAUUCUUAAGUUAGGGGAGGCUUCUAAUAAUAAACCAUUAGCACUAACCAUCAAUGAAUUGUGAUAGCUAUGAGAUCUGAGGGCGUAGAUGUUUUUUUUUUACUGCUAAUUAAGUAGCAAUGGGACCAACAUCAGGUUUAAUAGACCAACAGCUUGCUAUACCAUGCUAUGAUUUUAAUAUUAGACCUUUUUAUUCCUUGAAAAAUCAUCUAUUCGUUUCAUUUAUGAUACCUCUAUCCUUGGAACAUAAUAUACUAGGUCUUCUUUCCGUGAUUUUAAUGGGUACGUUGUGUAGUGAUUCUUUUCUUCAAGAUUCUAUACUAUUAUUUUUAUUUGCAGGGAUUUCAACUAUGAAGUUCAGAAGUAACAAUUAUUUUCUGUUAUUGCAGUUGUUUUAUUUCAGUACAUUAUCAUGAAAAUAACAUUCUUAUGAAAAUAUUUACAAAUCUGGCACUUUGUAGAUCAUCUCACCAGCUGGCUCAACAUAGAUCCGCUAUGUUAUUAUUUAUUUGCUUGUAAACUUUUUUUCAAGAAACUCUAAUAUUGCCCAAUGAUGGAAAACUCAUUUUAUGGAGUGGUUGCUUUUUGUUUCAAUUAGUAGCCUCCCCUAAUCAAAUUAAUUUUUUUUUUUUCAAUUUCAUCCUCAUCCCCCCCUCUCUCCCCCCCCUUCUAUUCUUCAUUCUUAAGUUAGGGGAGGCUUCUAAUUAUAAACCAUUAGCACUAACCAUCAAUGAAUUGUGAUAGCUAUGAGAUCUGAGGGCGUAGAUGUUUUUUUUUUUUUACUGCUAAUUAAGUAGCAAUGGGACCAACAUCAGGUUUAAUAGACCAACAGCUUGCUAUACCAUGCUAUGAUUUUAAUAUUAGACCUUUUUAUUCCUUGAAAAAUCAUCUAUUCGUUUCAUUUAUGAUACCUCUAUCCUUGGAACAUAAUAUACUAGGUCUUCUUUACGUGAUUUUAAUGGGUACGUUGUGUUGUGAUUCUUUUCUUCAAGAUUCUAUACUAUUAUUUUUAUUUGCAGGGAUUUCAACUAUGAAGUUCAGAAGUAACAAUUAUUUUCUGUUAUUGCAGUUGUUUUAUUUCAGUACAUUAUCAUGAAAAUAACAUUCUUAUGAAAAUAUUUACAAAUCUGGCACUUUGUAGAUCAUCUCACCAGCUGGCUCAACAUAGAUCCGCUAUGUUAUUAUUUAUUUGCUUGUAAACUUUUUUUCAAGAAACUCUAAUAUUGCCCAAUGAUGGAAAACUCAUUUUAUGGAGUGGUUGCUUUUUGUUUCAAUUAGUAGCCUCCCUAAUCAAAUUAUUUUAUUUUUUUUUUUCAAUUUCAUCCUCAUCCCCCCCUCUCUCCCCCCCCUUCUAUUCUUCAUUCUUAAGUUAGGGGAGGCUUCUAAUUAUAAACCAUUAGCACUAACCAUCAAUGAAUUGUGAUAGCUAUGAGAUCUGAGGGCGUAGAUGUUUUUUUUUUUUACUGCUAAUUAAGUAGCAAUGGGACCAACAUCAGGUUUAAUAGACCAACAGCUUGCUAUACCAUGCUAUGAUUUUAAUAUUAGACCUUUUUAUUCCUUGAAAAAUCAUCUAUUCGUUUCAUUUAUGAUACCUCUAUCCUUGGAACAUAAUAUACUAGGUCUUCUUUACGUGAUUUUAAUGGGUACGUUGUGUUGUGAUUCUUUUCUUCAAGAUUCUAUACUAUUAUUUUUAUUUGCAGGGAUUUCAACUAUGAAGUUCAGAAGUAACAAUUAUUUUCUGUUAUUGCAGUUGUUUUAUUUCAGUACAUUAUCAUGAAAAUAACAUUCUUAUGAAAAUAUUUACAAAUCUGGCACUUUGUAGAUCAUCUCACCAGC